UACGAAGGGGGCGAGCGUUGUUCGGAAUUACUGGGCGUAAAGGGCGCGUAGGCGGCGACCCAAGUCAGAUGUGAAAGUCCUGGGCUUAACCUGGGGACUGCAUUUGAUACUGGGUUGCUUGAAUUCGGGAGAGGAUAGCGGAAUUCCCAGUGUAGAGGUGAAAUGCGCAGAUAUCAGGAAGAACACCCGUGGCGAAGGCGGCUCUCUGGGACGGUACUGACGCUGAGACGCGAAAGCGUGGGGAGCGAACAGG
rnacentral:rRNA from 1 species